rnacentral:rRNA from 1 species
AUUGAACGCUGGCGGCAUGCUUUACACAUGCAAGUCGAACGGUAACAGGCCUUCGGGUGCUGACGAGUGGCGAACGGGUGCGUAAUGCAUCGGAACGUGCCCAGAGGUGGGGGAUAACGCAGCGAAAGCUGUGCUAAUACCGCAUGUGAUCUGAGGAUGAAAGCGGGGGACCAGGCAGCAAUGUUUGGCCUCGCGCCUUUGGAGCGGCCGAUGUCAGAUUAGGUAGUUGGUGGGGUAAAGGCCUACCAAGCCGACGAUCUGUAGCUGGUCUGAGAGGACGACCAGCCACACUGGGACUGAGACACGGCCCAGACUCCUACGGGAGGCAGCAGUGGGGAAUUUUGGACAAUGGGCGCAAGCCUGAUCCAGCAAUGCCGCGUGCGGGAAGAAGACCUUCGGGUUGUAAACCGCUUUUGUACGGAAAGAAAAGGAUCUGGCUAAUACCUGGGGCUGAUGACGGUACCGUAAGAAUAAGCACCGGCUAACUACGUG